ACUAAUUUGCCAAUAAAUAAUAGAAUUCCGAGACUUCACUCAUUCCCUACGAAACUUCCAUUAAUUCCACAGCAUUGGCAAGAAGGUCUUGAAGGUCUGAGUCUCACCGGAGCAUCACAUUGAGUUACAACAAGGCUUUUUCGGGUCAGGAUGGAUUUUCGGAAUAAUUUGGUGAUGGUAGCUGGAAGCGUAGUGUUCAACAUGGUGAUGUGUCUGGUACGAUUCCCAGGAGGACUUGCAACCCUUGGGAACAGAGAUGGCGAUUGGGUGUUCUUCUAUGCGGACUUGAUAGCUCUAUGCAUCUCCAUGAAUGUGCUUGUUGUUGGAAUGAGUGUGGGACCCACACUCUGGAAAAAGAUCGAGGAGCUAGCAAGGAAUGCCAUGCUUAUUGCACUUUCUGCUAUGGCGAUAGCUGUUCAUCAGAUUAUUCUUAGGGUUUUAGAGGGCGACUACUGGUCGAGGCUUUUUGUUAAUGGGUCCUUCAUUGCGUUGGCAGUUGUCACUUGUGGUUUCAACAUCUUUCUGAGGUGUGGUUAUUGGACCAAGUAGAGACUCUGUUGAUGCUUUUGAUGUCGUCUCUUCUAUAACACUAUUGAAUAUUAUUAGUUUGGAUAUGUAUUAGUCUUUUCUUCUGGGUUUCAUUUUCUUCCAUUUUAGUCUACGAAUUACCAAGAAGACCUAGUUUACUAAAAUUAUGUAUAGCUAUUCUUCUGUUCUAUACAAGUCCAACAGGAAUGGAAUAUGAUAUAUAUUAUUAGUUGUUGAA